rnacentral:rRNA from 1 species
GAUGAGCGCUGACAGAAUGCUUAACACAUGCAAGUCGAUGGGGAAGUGGUGCUUGCACCAUGGUAACCAUGGCGGACGGGUGAGUAACGCGUAAGGAACUUGCCUGCGGGACUGGGAUAACAGCAGGAAACUGCUGAUAAUACCGGAUAAGGUCAUUAAGCUGCAUAGCUUAGUGAUGAAAGGAGACGCCUGCGGAGAGCCUUGCGUCCUAUUAGCUAGUUGGAGGGGUAACGGCCCACCAAGGCGAAGAUAGGUAGCCGGCCUGAGAGGGUGGACGGCCACAAGGGGACUGAGAUACGGCCCUUACUCCUACGGGAGGCAGCAGUGGGGAAUAUUGGACAAUGGGGGCAACCCUGAUCCAGCAAUUCUGUGUGCACGAAGACGGUUUUCGGAUUGUAAAGUGCUUUCAGCAGGGAAGAAGGAAGUGACGGUACCUGCAGAAGAAGCGACGGCUAAA